UACGGGGGGUGCGAGCGUUGUCCGGAAUCACUGGGCGUAAAGGGCGCGUAGGUGGUUUGAUAAGGGUGUGGUGAAAGUCCGGGGCUCAACCCCGGAUCUGCCGUGCCGACUGUCAAACUCGAGGACUGUAGAGGCAGACGGAAUUCCGGGUGUAGCGGUGGAAUGCGUAGAGAUCCGGAGGAAGACCGGUGGCGAAGGCGGUCUGCUGGGCAGUUUCUGACACUGAGGCGCGACAGCGUGGGGAGCA
rnacentral:rRNA from 1 species